rnacentral:rRNA from 1 species
GAUGAACGCUGGCGGCGUGCUUAACACAUGCAAGUCGAACGGGAAACCUUUUAUUGAAGCUUCGGCAGAUUUAGCUGGUUUCUAGUGGCGGCCGGGUGAGUAACGCGUGGGUAACCUGCCUUAUACAGGGGGAUAACAGUCAGAAAUGGCUGCUAAUACCGCAUAAGCGCACAGAGCUGCAUGGCUCAGUGUGAAAAACUCCGGUGGUAUAAGAUGGACCCGCGUUGGAUUAGCUGGUUGGUGGGGUAACGGCCCACCAAGGCGACGAUCCAUAGCCGGCCUGAGAGGGUGAACGGCCACAUUGGGACUGAGACACGGCCCAGACUCCUACGGGAGGCAGCAGUGGGGAAUAGUGCACAAUGGGGGAAACCCUGAUGCAGCGACGCCGCGUGAAGGAAGAAGUAUCUCGGUAUGUAAACUUCUAUCAGCAGGGAAGAUAAUGACGGUACCUGACGAAGAAGCCCCGGCUAACUACGUA